AGUGGGGAAGUAACAAUACGGAAACGGUUGCUAAUACCGCAUAAUGCAGCGGCACCUAAUGGUGACAGUUGUUAAAGCGGGGAUCGAAAGACCUCGCGUCUGAAGAGGAGCCUGCGGCGGAUUAGCUAGUUGGUAGGGUAAUGGCCUACCAAGGCGACGAUCCGUAGCCGGCCUGAGAGGGCGGUCGGCCACACUGACACUGACAUACGGGUCAG
rnacentral:rRNA from 1 species